rnacentral:misc_RNA from 1 species
UAUAUUUAUUUAAAUACAUUUAAAAACUAAGUCUUACAUAUAAUUUUAUAUAAAAAUAAUUUAAAUGCAAGUAAAAUAAGAUAAUAUUUUAAAAAAAAUAUGUAGAAAUAACAGAUAUAUUCUUUAAAAAACUUAAACAAA